UGCCAGCCGCCGCGGUAAUAAGGAGGGUGCAAGCGUUGUCCGGAUUUAUUGGGUUUAAAGGGUGCGUAGGCGGUAUUGUAAGUCAGUGGUGAAAUCUUGCGGCUUAACCGUAAAAUUGCCAUAGAUACUGCAGUACUUGAGUCCGUUUGAGGUGGUUGGAAUGCGUAGUGUAGCGGUGAAAUGCAUAGAUAUUACGCAGAACACCUAUUGCGAAGGCAGAUCACUAAGACGGUACUGACGCUGAGGCACGAAAGCGUGGGGAGCGAACAGGAUUAGAUA
rnacentral:rRNA from 1 species